rnacentral:rRNA from 1 species
CCAAUUGAUUGAUGGUGCUUGCACCUGAUUGAUUUUGGUCGCCAACGAGUGGCGGACGGGUGAGUAACACGUAGGUAACCUGCCCAGAAGCGGGGGACAACAUUUGGAAACAGAUGCUAAUACCGCAUAACARCGUUGUUCGCAUGAACAACGCUUAAAAGAUGGCUUCUCGCUAUCACUUCUGGAUGGACCUGCGGUGCAUUAGCUUGUUGGUGGGGUAAYGGCCUACCAAGGCGAUGAUGCAUAGCCGAGUUGAGAGACUGAUCGGCCACAAUGGGACUGAGACACGGCCCAUACUCCUACGGGAGGCAGCAGUAGGGAAUCUUCCACAAUGGGCGCAAGCCUGAUGGAGCAACACCGCGUGAGUGAAGAAGGGUUUCGGCUCGUAAAGCUCUGUUGUUAAAGAAGAACACGUAUGAGAGUAACUGUUCAUACGUUGACGGUAUUUAACCAGAAAGUCACGGCUAACUACGUGCCAGCAGCCGCGGUAAUACGUAGGUGGCAAGCGUUAUCCGGAUUUAUUGGGCGUAAAGAGAGUGCAGGCGGUUUUCUAAGUCUGAUGUGAAAGCCUUCGGCUUAACCGGAGAAGUGCAUCGGAAACUGGAUAACUUGAGUGCAGAAGAGGGUAGUGGAACUCCAUGUGUAGCGGUGGAAUGCGUAGAUAUAUGGAAGAACACCAGUGGCGAAGGCGGCUACCUGGUCUGCAACUGACGCUGAGACUCGAAAGCAUGGGUAGCGAACAGGAUUAGAUACCCUGGUAGUCCAUGCCGUAAACGAUGAGUGCUAGGUGUUGGAGGGUUUCCGCCCUUCAGUGCCGGAGCUAACGCAUUAAGCACUCCGCCUGGGGAGUACGACCGCAAGGUUGAAACUCAAAGGAAUUGACGGGGGCCCGCACAAGCGGUGGAGCAUGUGGUUUAAUUCGAAGCUACGCGAAGAACCUUACCAGGUCUUGACAUCUUGCGCCAACCCUAGAGAUAGGGCGUUUCCUUCGGGAACGCAAUGACAGGUGGUGCAUGGUCGUCGUCAGCUCGUGUCGUGAGAUGUUGGGUUAAGUCCCGCA